UACUUAAUUGGUAAUUUCUUUUAGGUUUAAAAUAAUUUCCAAUCACAGUUCAAGUAUUCCUCAAUCCUUGUGUUUGUUUUUUGGUUUCAUCACCUCAUAAUUUCCAAUAGCUUAGGUUCACUUGUUAUAGGUUUAAGUUUUGUUCCUUAUUGAAAAUUGGGUCAGUAUCUGUUCAAAUUUUAAAAUACACACAAAAUUAGUAAAAUACAUGCAAAAUUCCAAAAUCCUAAUCUAGGUUCAGAAUCAGAAAUACUUACAACUCCUUUGCACGAUAAUCUUUCCGGAUCUGCCGGAACCUCCUAAUUUAUCGUACACACGACACAAGUUAAUUAAUAUAAUUUUAAAUACUAAAUAGAAACUAAUUUAAUUGAAAUCAUGGGUUUCAAUGACAACCUGACGAAAUACCUGAAAAUAUCGGGUUCCCCCGAGGAAGACUCUUCGGCUUCCCGUGUGGUGGAUCGGAUUUUCGUACUCGAGGAAGACUUUUUGGCUUCCCAAGUGCUGAACUGGAUUCUCGAAUGGGUGAAUCAGGUUCUUAUUCCCGAGGAUAGCCCCUCAGUUUCCAUUGGUGAGUUAUUUUCCCACACCCGAGGAAGGCUCCUCAGUU
rnacentral:lncRNA from 1 species